UACCUCUGGAUGCACCCAUAAGCAGGGCCU
rnacentral:piRNA from 1 species